CACGGGGGGAGCAAGCGUUGUUCGGAUUCAUUGGGCGUAAAGGGUGCGUAGGCGGCGCGGUAAGUCGGGUGUGAAAUCUCGGAGCUUAACUCCGAAACUGCAUUCGAUACUGCCGUGCUUGAGGACUGGAGAGGAGACUGGAAUUUACGGUGUAGCGGUGAAAUGCGUAGAUAUCGUAAGGAAGACCAGUGGCGAAGGCGGGUCUCUGGACAGUUCCUGACGCUGAGGCACGAAGGCCAGGGGAGCAAACGGG
rnacentral:rRNA from 1 species